UAGUAAUCGCGGAUCAGCAUGCCGCGGUGAAUACGUUCCCGGGCCUUGUACACACCGCCCGUCACACCAUGGGAGUCGGUAACACCCGAAGCCGAUAGUCUAACGAAAGAGGACGUCGUCGAAGGUGGGAUUGAUGACUGGGGUGAAGUCGUAACAAGGUAAC
rnacentral:rRNA from 1 species